UGGGGAAUAUUGCACAAUGGGCGAAAGCCUGAUGCAGCAACGCCGCGUGAGUGAUGAAGGUCUUCGGAUUGUAAAGCUCUGUCUUUUGGGACGAUAAUGACGGUACCAAAGGAGGAAGCCAUGCGCUAACUACGUGCCAGCAGCCGCGGUAAUACGUAGGUGGCGAGCGUUGUCCGGAUUUACUGGGCGUAAAGGGUGCGUAGGCGGAUGUUUAAGUGAGAUGUGAAAUACCCGGGCUUAACUUGGGUGCUGCAUUUCAAACUGGAUAUCUAGAGUGCAGGAGAGGAGAAUGGAAUUCCUAGUGUAGCGGUGAAAUGCGUAGAGAUUAGGAAGAACACCAGUGGCGAAGGCGAUUCUCUGGACUGUAACUGACGCUGAGGCACGAAAGCGUGGGUAGCAAACAGGAUUAGAUACCCUGGUAGUCCACGCCGUAAACGAUGAGUACUAGGUGUAGGAGGUAUCGACCCCUUCUGUGCCGCAGUAAACACAUUAAGUACUCCGCCUGGGAAGUACGAUCGCAAGAUUAAAACUCUAAAGUGAGUUGAC
rnacentral:rRNA from 1 species